rnacentral:rRNA from 1 species
AUUGAACGCUGGCGGCAUGCUUUACACAUGCAAGCCGAACGGUAGAGGGGGCAACCCCUUGAGAGUGGCGAACGGGUGAGUAAUGCAUCGGAACGUGCCCAGUCGUGGGGGAUAACGCAGCGAAAGCUGUGCUAAUACCGCAUACGAUCUCUGGAUGAAAGCGGGGGACCGAAAGGCCUCGCGCGAUUGGAGCGGCCGAUGUCAGAUUAGGUAGUUGGUGGGGUAAAGGCUCACCAAGCCGACGAUCUGUAGCUGGUCUGAGAGGACGACCAGCCACACUGGGACUGAGACACGGCCCAGACUCCUACGGGAGGCAGCAGUGGGGAAUUUUGGACAAUGGGCGAAAGCCUGAUCCAGCCAUGCCGCGUGCAGGAUGAAGGCCUUCGGGUUGUAAACUGCUUUUGUACGGAACGAAAAGGUCUGGGUUAAUACCCUGGGCACAUGACGGUACCGUAAGAAUAAGCACCGGCUAACUACGUGCCAGCAGCCGCAGUAA